rnacentral:rRNA from 1 species
GCCUGCAGCUAGCUUUCUGCAACUCUCACAUGGUCACCCACUGAAGCCAAGCAGGCCUGUGCCUGGUCAGUACCUGAAUGGGAGAUCACAUUGGAAAGCUAGGUUGCUGCUGGAA